rnacentral:misc_RNA from 1 species
AUUUAGUAACAGAAGAAAAUUUACAGCUACAGAGUAAGCAUUACUGUGAAAUUAUAUCAUUACACAGUAGUUUUUGCAAUAACACGCAUUAAUUAGAAAGUGAAAUCAAGCAAUACAUAACAGCAACAGUCACUAAAGAAAACAAAGAGCGGAGAACCUGAAUUGCUGCAAACUUGCAUUUCAUAUACAAACAGUGGAUACCAAAAGAUCGCCCAGCUGAUUAAGAUCUGCGAAAGUCAAACUGGUUAUAUUUGAUCUGUUGUCAAUUUAGACAUCCACAUAUCUUUUACAUUGCAUAGACAAUCUCUCCACUGCUAUCGAUAUCGAGGUCAGGAUCACUCUCCAAAUCUUCUUCCAUGUCAUCGUCAAUGUCCAAGCUUCCAGUGAGGUAAUGAUUAAGGCUGUUGGUCCCAGCAGCAGGAAUGGUGGCCUCAGUUAUUAUCUGCAUGAUUUCGUCAAUGCUCUGCAUACGUUGAUCUGGCUCCUCAAACUGGUUGUUUG